UACGUAGGGGGCAAGCGUUGUCCGGAUUUAUUGGGCGUAAGGAGCGUGUAGGCGGCUUUACAGGUCCGUUGUGAAAACUCGAGGCUCAACCUCGAGACGCCGGCGGAAACCAUCUGGCUAGAGUCCGGAAGAGGAGAGUGGAAUUCCUGGUGUAGCGGUGAAAUGCGCAGAUAUCAGGAAGAACACCCGUGGCGAAGGCGGCUCUCUGGGCCUUACCUGACGCUGAGGAGCGAAAGCGUGGGUAGCGAACAGG
rnacentral:rRNA from 1 species